ACGGGAGGCAGCAGUGGGGAAUAUUGCACAAUGGGCGGAAGCCUGAUGCAGCGAUGCCGCGUGGAGGAAGAAGGUUUUCGGAUUGUAAACUCCUUUUAUCAGGGACGAUAAUGACGGUACCUGAAGAAAAAGCUCCGGCUAACUACGUGCCAGCAGCCGCGGUAAUACGUAGGUUGCAAGCGUUGUCCGGAUUUACUGGGUGUAAAGGGCGUGUAGGCGGAGCUGCAAGUCAGAUGUGAAAUCCCGGGGCUCAACCCCGGAACUGCAUUUGAAACUGUAGCCCUUGAGUAUCGGAGAGGCAAGCGGAAUUCCUAGUGUAGCGGUGAAAUGCGUAGAUAUUAGGAGGAACACCAGUGGCGAAGGCGGCUUGCUGGACGACAACUGACGCUGAGGCGCGAAAGCGUGGGGAGCAAACAGGAUUAGAUACCCUGGUA
rnacentral:rRNA from 1 species